rnacentral:tRNA from 1 species
GCGGGUGUCGCAUAGCGGUAGUGUGCCACCCUUCCAAGGUGGAGGUAGGGGUCCGACUCCCCUCACCCGCU